ACGCUCGACACCUACGGGGGGCAGCAGUGGGGAAUAUUGCACAAUGGGGGAAACCUUGAUGCAGCGACGCCGCGUGGGUGAAGAAGUAUUUCGGUAUGUAAAGCUCUAUCAGCAGGGAAGAGAAUGACGGUACCUGACUAAGAAGCCCCGGCUAACUACGUGCUAGCAGCCGCGGUAAUCUGAGCGGGCUGGCAAGGC
rnacentral:rRNA from 1 species